CCAUAAUCAUUCAAUCCAUAAUUGAGACUGAAACCACCGUCUAUUUUUUUUUCUUGAAUUUUGGAUAUAGUAAUUUAUCAAAUUCUCAUUUACCAAAAUUUGUUUCAUAUUCCAUUAAUAUGCAAUCAAAUUUUGUGUAGAGAUGAUAAUUGAAACUUCAACCAUAAAAUCAUAUAUUUCCUUUCUGUUUGAGAAAAUAAGCGAAUUCUUUAUAAGCUAAACAAAAAGUAUUUUCGUUCAUGUACCGAAUAACGAAAGGAAGGCAGAAAAGGCAAAAUAUAAAAUAAAACGGGGAAACAUUAAAUAUGAAAUCACGGAUGGCUACCCCCUACCACUAAUUCGUCACAAGAGAUUCCUCACUUGGAGCGUCUUGUUCUUGCACAUAUCUCCAUAUGUUGAUAAUAUUUAUAUUUCUUCUCAUUCUUCAAAACUAAAACACAAAGAGAGACGAAAAAUGGCGGAAGAAUCUCCAAAGUCUAUCUACGACUUCACCGUCAAGGAUAUUGAAGGUAAGGAUGUGAGUUUGAGCCAAUUCAAAGGCAAAACUCUUCUGAUUGUAAAUGUUGCCUCCAAAUGUGGCUUGACGGAUGCGAACUACAAGGAACUCAAUGUUCUGUAUGAUAAAUACAAGGAACAAGGUUUGUUACCCAUGUAU